rnacentral:rRNA from 1 species
GACGAACGCUGGCGGCGUGCUUAACACAUGCAAGUCGAACGGUAAGGCCCUUCGGGGUACACGUGUGGCGAACGGGUGAGUAACACGUGGGUGAUCUGCCCUGCACUUCGGGAUAAGCCUGGGAAACUGGGUCUAAUACCGGAUAGGACUCCGGACUGCAUGGUCUGGGGUGGAAAGCUUUUGCGGUGUGGGAUGGGCCCGCGGCCUAUCAGCUUGUUGGUGGGGUGAUGGCCUACCAAGGCGACGACGGGUAGCCGGCAUGAGAGGGUGACCGGCCACACUGGGACUGAGAUACGGCCCAGACUCCUGCGGGAGGCAGCAGUGGGGAAUAGUGCACAAUGGGCGCAAGCCUGAUGCAGCGACGCCGCGUGAGGGAUGACGGCCUUCGGGUUGUAAACCUCUUUCAGCAUCGACGAAGCGAAAGUGACGGUAGGUGCAGAAGAAGGACCGGCCAACUACGUGCCAGCAGCCGCGGUAA